UGUCUAGUAUAAGCAUCUAUACUGUGAAACUGCGAAUGGCUCAUUAAAUCAGUUAUCGUUUAUUUGAUAGUACCUUACUACUUGGAUAACCGUGGUAAUUCUAGAGCUAAUACAUGCUAAAAACCCCGACUUUUGGAGGGGUGUAUUUAUUAGAUAAAAAACCAAUGCCCUUCGGGGCUCCUUGGUGAUUCAUAAUAACUUAACGAAUCGCAUGGCCUUGUGCCGGCGAUGGUUCAUUCAAAUUUCUGCCCUAUCAACUUUCGAUGGUUAGGUCUUGGCUAACCAUGGUUUCAACGGGUAACGGGGAAUUAGGGUUCUAUUCCGGAGAGUGAGCCUGAGAAACGGCUAACACAUCCAAGGAAGGCAGCAGGCGCGCAAAUUACCCAAUCCCGACACGGGGAGGUAGUGACAAUAAAUACUGAUCCAGGGCUCUUUUGGGUCUUGGAAUUGGAAUGAGUACAAUUUAAAUCCCUUAACGAGGAACAAUUGGAGGGCAAGUCUGGUGCCAGCAGCCGCGGUAAUUCCAGCUCCAAUAGCGUAUAUUAAAGUUGUUGCAGUUAAAAAGCUCGUAGUUGAACCUUGGGUCUGGCUGGUUGGUCCGCCUCACCGCGUGUACUGAUCCGGCCGGACCUUUCCUUCUGGGGAACUGCAUGCCCUUCACUGGGUGUGUCAGGGAUCCAGGACUUUUACUUUGAAAAAAUUAGAGUGUUCAAAGCAGGCCUAUGCUCGAAUACAUUAGCAUGGAAUAAUAGAAUAGGACGUGUGGUUCUAUUUUGUUGGUUUCUAGGACCGCCGUAAUGAUUAAUAGGGAUAGUCGGGGGCAUCAGUAUUCAAUUGUCAGAGGUGAAAUUCUUGGAUUUAUUGAAGACUAACUACUGCGAAAGCAUUUGCCAAGGAUGUUUUCAUUAAUCAGUGAACGAAAGUUAGGGGAUCGAAGACGAUCAGAUACCGUCGUAGUCUUAACCAUAAACUAUGCCGACUAGGGAUCGGGCGAUGUUACUUUUUUGACUCGCUCGGCACCUUACGAGAAAUCAAAGUCUUUGGGUCCUGGGGG
rnacentral:rRNA from 1 species